rnacentral:lncRNA from 1 species
AUGGCGAGGGGGACCCGGGCAGGGGGCGGGGCCUCGGGGGGGCGAGGGGGACCGGGCAGGGGGCGGGGCCUCGGGGUGGCGAGGGGGACCGGGCAGGGGGCGGGGCCUCGGGGUGGCGAGGGGGACCGGGCAGGGGGCGGGGCCUCGGGAUGGCGAGGGGGACCGGGCAGGGGGCGGGGCCUCGGGGUGGCGAGGGGGACCGGGCAGGGGGCGGGGCCUCGGGGUGGCGAGGGGGACCGGGCAGGGGGCGGGGCCUCGGGUGGCGAGGGGGACCGGGCAGGGGGCGGGGCCUCGGGGUGGCGAGGGGGACCCGGGCAGGGGGCGGGGCCUCGGGGUGGCGAGGGGGACCGGGCAGGGGGCGGGGCCUCGGGGUGGCGAGGGGGACCCGGGCCGGGGGCGGGGCCCCGGGGUGGCGAGGGGACCCGUGCAGGGGCGGGGCCUCGGGGUGGCGAGGGGGACCGGGCGAGGGGGACCCGGGCAGGGGGCGGGGCCUCGGGGUGGCGAGGGGGACCGGGCAGGGGGCGGGGCCUCGGGGUGGCGAGGGGGACCGGGCAGGGGGCGGGGCCUCGGGGUGGCGAGGGGGACCGGGCAGGGGGCGGGGCCUCGGGGUGGCGAGGGGGACCGGGCAGGGGGCGGGGCCUCGGGGUGGCGAGGGGGACCGGGCAGGGGGCGGGGCCUCGGGGUGGCGAGGGGGACCGGGCAGGGGGCGGGGCCUCGGGGUGGCGAGGGGGACCCGGGCAGGGGGCGGGGCCUCGGGGUGGCGAGGGGGUCCGGGACCGGGACCGGGACCGGGACCGGGACCGGGGCCGGGACCGGGACCGGGGCCGGGAGGAGGGGCGGGCUGCGGCGGGAGGAGGACCGGGUCCUGGAAGCCGGAAGCCGCCAGCCGCCAGCCGCCAGCCGCCCCGCCUCGCGCCGGAAGUCCCGCUGGCGGCAAAGUUAACGGCAGUGGUUGGCGCGUCCGCGUCGGAGUCGCUGGUUCUCGAGGCUGCCGGCUGCGCGCCCCCUGCCCCCACCGAAGCUGACGUGCCCGCGCGGACCCGGGGAGCGUCCGCCGUCCCGGGGCGCUGUGGACGUGACUUCGGGGAGCUGGCUGUCCUGGUCCCAGCCUGCUCCGCCUCCCCGGUGACUGCGUCGGGGUGUGCAGAAUCAGCGGUGGGCCCGCUGGGAGAUGCGACACCGGGAAGGAAGGCUCUGGGUGGCAGGCCAAACCCCGUGCCUCUGAAGUCGGAGUUUGCUUCCCAUCCAGUGGAAGGCGAGGGCCCUCCGGACAAAAUUCUGAAGAUGAAUUUCCACUACAUUGAAAUGGCAGCUAUCAAAACUCAGCUCUGCACGUGGUUGUCUGAAGAAGGAGAAAUCAAGAAUCACUAUCAGAGAGAAUAAUGCAACAUCCUAAUCAACAGGACUACAAAUGUGCUCUUACAGAAAAACAAUCUGAUCAUCUGGAAAAAUCACAGCUACAACCUGGGAACAUUCCUAUCUGGGAUACUGAUCUGGACAAGGCACUCGAUUUCUAAACAGGAAAACUGUGAGAUCAGG